CCUACGGGUGGCAGCAGUCGAGAAUCAUUCACAAUGGGGGAAACCCUGAUGGUGCGACGCCGCGUGGGGGAAUGAAGGUCUUCGGAUUGUAAACCCCUGUCAUGUGGGAGCAAAUUAAAAAGAUAGUACCACAAGAGGAAGAGACGGCCAACUCUGUGCCAGCAGCCGCGGUAAUACAGAGGUCUCAAGCGUUGUUCGGAAUCACUGGGCGUAAAGCGUGCGUAGGCUGUUUCGUAAGUCGUGUGUGAAAGGCGCGGGCUCAACCCGCGGACGGCACAUGAGACUGCGAGACUAGAGUGAUGGAGGGGGAACCGGAAUGCUCGGUGUAGCAGUGAAAUGCGUAGAGAUAGGGAGGAACACUCGUGGCGAAGGCGAGUUCCUGGACAUUAACUGACGCUGAGGCACGAAGGCCAGGGGAGCGAAAGGGAUUAGAUACCCCGGUAGUC
rnacentral:rRNA from 1 species